CAAGUGUGUAUGCGUCCUCUGUGUUCGUUAUCUCUGGCUAGUCCCUUCUGAAAGGAAUGAUAGGAAGUGAAAGAAUGGGACAAAAACCUUUGUUGAGCUGUUUAGAAUAGACCCUGAUCUUGAGCCUAUUCCCCAUACACAGAAAGGAGUUACAGAGCACAUCUGUUUUCAUGACAUAUCUGAUGGUAUUUUGAGCACUCAGGUCCUGCACUUCCCCCUGACAUUGCAUCACCACUUUCUGUUAAUACAAUUACUUUCAAGGCAUGCUCAGUUCCCACUAGCUUUAGUUUUGAAGUUAAACAAAAUUAGUCCUUCCAGGUCAAUCGUGGAAUACACAGUGGAGCAUUUAAAAGCAGAAGAUGAAGGUGGAAAAAAAUGAGACAAUAAAUAGAUUUCCCCAUUUUUAAUUCUAUUCAUCUCCAUUACAUUGGGGUAGGUAGAAACAAAGAAGGCUGCAUCACAGAAAAGAGUUGAGGCAAAAGAGUUUGCCAUGUUGUGCUGAAGAGAGAGUAACAUCACCUCUUGGCUAAUUGCAUGGGAGAUACCUGUGCACAAGUCCCUGGUCCUACCUCACCCAGUUGCUAUACCUGCUGGUUUAUGGGUGUUUUUUUGCUGACUAACUGAACUUUUAACUAGCUCUACAAAAUGGAUUGGUGCUAGCAGAAUAUACUUAGACCAUCACCCAGUAACUGGGAAACUAGCCUGCAAAUUAGGUUCAAAUCCUUACCCUCCUUCAUUCCCUCUCAGGCUCCAUGACUGUUACUUCACAACUCAUUGCACUUUGCUGGCUACAGGGCUCCCACAGGCAACUCCCCUAAUCAUGGAAGAAUCCUUUUUUUUCUAUAUACAGAAAGACCACCCUGUUUGGGAAACUUUCCCCUCAAAAUCAAUCCAUUUACAAGGAGCCAGAACUGCAGAGGCAGAGGGGGAUGCCUGUGGCACACAGCCGUUCCCGUUUCCUCUCAUUGGCACAAGGCUGCAGAAUGACGACACGGAGUUACUCGAAGGAGACAGUGUGGAAGCAGAUGUGGAUGCAUGUGACAGAGCUGGAGGCAUCUCACUUUUUCCUGACUCCAGUCAAGAGGUGAAAUGCCAGAAAUACCCAGAGACGCCCUACCUAGCCAGACAGCUCCCCCGCGGGCCAUGCAGCCCGACGGGUGGUUUUCCAAACCACCCCUGAACUCUGAACCUUCAAAUCAUUUACAGAUCUCUCACAAGUGGAGAUGAAACCACAUCUCUGCAUGACUUUUGCAAGCAGCAGUGAGAGCCUGGAUCAGCAGAGUUCCUCUACGCAGCCCGGCUGUUUUGCAAAUGCAGCUCUGAAGUGGCUCUGAAGGCUGCUGUGGUCUCAGUAAUGGGCACCCAUUCGCUCUGCAAUUACCCAAAGAAAACCUUCACCUCGUCUGCUCAGGGUAGAGCCUGAAUGAAGCUUAACUAGCCAAAGACAACUGGGAAACCCUAAAUUUCCUAUUACGAGCAUUGUCUCGUCUGACAGUAUUUUUGUAACAGACUAACGCCGCCUGUCCCUGGUGAUAAGCUGGGUUUUAUUAUGAAAUAUAACAGUUGUAUUGUACGUGACUGCUCCGUGCAAGGCAAUUUACAGACCUGCUCUGGUGACUGCUGUGCCCUUUACAAUGGAACUUGUAUCGCGUCAAAAUUUUCAUGAUUCUAAGAGAGGGGAGAAAAUUCCUGUUAGGUAACUGUUAUUGAAGUGUGUACAAGAUUGGAUGUCAAAACAUUUUCAUUGUUAGCUGGUGGGAAUUACAUUGACUGACAGCAGCAGUUUAACAACUGAGAUUCAGUGUAGUUUAUUAUUUUAUUUUUUUUCCGUGUAUUUUAGGAGACUAUAAAUUUGGAGCGAUAAAGCCUGUCUUUAGAAACACACACUCUCUGCCUUGCGCUUUCACUAUCGUUCUCAGAUUGGUAAAAGACGAAUGAGUGAUAAAAGAGAUUAAAAACCAAUGCUUUAAUUUCGUCUUGCUGCAUGGUGUCAAGGUAUCCUGUCCUCUUAAUAAAAUAAGCAGCGGGACUACGGGACACAGAGUUAAAAUGAAAAUGAGCAAAAGUUUGGAGUGGGUGGGUUAUAACUUCGGGCCCAGUUCUGGCUCUCUGAUUCCCGGCUAACCCAUCCCCGCUCCCCGCCGGCCGCUGCCGUUCCCCCGCUGGCCGCGAGGUGGCGGCCGAGGCGGUGCCAUCGCCGCAGCCGGGACAGACCCGAGUGCUGCUGCCCCGAGUCGGUCUGGUAACAACAAUUAAC